AGGAUGCUUUUGGCNCGGUGCCUUCCGAGUUCCCUGGAACGGGACGCCAUAGAGGGUGAGAGCCCCGUCUGGUCGGACACCNNNCCAGUGUAAAGCUCCUUCGACGAGUCGAGUAGUUUGGGAAUGCUGCUCUAAAUGGGAGGUAUAUGUCUUCUAAAGCUAAAUACCGGCCAGAGACCGAUAGCGCACAAGUAGAGUGAUCGAAAGAUGAAAAGCACUUUGAAAAGAGGGUUAAAAAGUACGUGAAAUUGUUGAAAGGGAAGCGUUUAUGACCAGACUUGGGCCCGGUGAAUC
rnacentral:rRNA from 1 species